UACGUAGGUGGCAAGCGUUGUCCGGAUUUACUGGGCGUAAAGAGCGCGCAGGCGGUCGUUCAAGUCGCGUGUGAAAGCCCCCGGCUCAACUGGGGAGGGUCACGCGAUACUGAUCGACUCGAAGGCAGGAGAGGGUAGUGGAAUUCCCGGUGUAGUGGUGAAAUGCGUAGAUAUCCGGAGGAACACCAGCGGCGAAGGCGGCAUCCUGGACUGGUCCUGACACUCAGGAGCGAAAGCGUGGGGGGCGAUCCGG
rnacentral:rRNA from 1 species